UUAAACAGUACAUCAAUGACAAUGGGAAUGCAUGGCCUUUCCUCUCUGAGCCUCAGUCCGCUCCCUGCACCUUGGAGAUGACACACAUGUGCCCGCAGGAGAGAGAGAGGAGUUGGCACCAAGGGCGGCUUCAGGUCUGCAAAGACCCAUGACCCUGCCUGCCCUCAAGAGGGGCGUGGCAGGUACCCCUGAAACCAGAAAUGACAGAGAGAGAGCCCCACACAGAGCAGCACAGAUAGGAUGGGCCGCCAGACACAGCAUAUAUGUAAAAAGGCACACUGUCUCACGGCCAGAUUGACAGGGGAGAAAAUGCACACUCGUGGCUUAGAGAGCCAGGACCCACGGGGCUCGGGCCUGGCUGCUGAUCCUGCUCUGAGACCUGAGGGACAGGGUGGCCCCCAUGCAGCAGGCCUGGCCACGCGAGGGAUGCAAGAGGGCGGCCCAUGGGCUCCCUGAGGAAGAUGAGCUCCUUCAAGCGGGGCUCGCUCAAGAGCGCCACAUCGGGGUCCCAGAAGGAACGAGAGACUCACAUGAUGCUCGCUGUGUAGCCCGCGGCCACGCCACGUGGUUCCACGUGACCCCUCCUCCCCCAACACUGGCUGUCCCACGCUGCUCCUGCCGAUCAGCUCUGCCAAGGAUCCAGCUUUUGUUGUUCUUGAAUCUGAUGUCUCCUAUUGACCUGGGCCUGGUACACUGGCGUAUGCACAGUGCCCAGAAUCGCAACGGGAACAGGGAACUCGACGGAAGGGGAGGAGGGGAGAAGCACUUAGACUUUGCUCAAGAUAAAAACAGCACCUCAUUUAUACACACUCACAACUAUUGCUACAGGACUGCACACUAUAAAUUAUCCAAGUCUAAGAACAAAGAUGAGCCCCUCCUCCCCGACUUCCAGAGGUGGUGAGCUUCAAACUCCUACAAAAACUUGUAGCAGUUAAAAGUCUUAAUGGCAGAGUUUGCCCCAAAGCCUAUUCAUAACAGCCCCAAGCUAAGCAGUAAAAUUAUUCAUGGAAGAAUGAAAGACAGUACUUAUGGCUUUAAGGACGCCAUUCUUUAAGGAAACAUCCACAAAAUCACAUGGGCAUGGACUGUUUUCAUUCUGUUUUCUUGCAUACUUAGCCCUUGUUUGACAUCAGUAGCUCGGUGCCAGUUCCCUGUUUCCUAACCAAAACCGCACCCCUCUUCCCAGUGUUUGCUGAAACACACCAGCUGCCCCGUGGGAAAAACAAACACACACUACACUAUGUACAAGUCUCUCCCACAGGUCAUCUCAUCUGGCCCUCUAUUUGCAAAGGGUAGAUUUGAGCUUUUGUCCUCUGCUGGUUGGCUCUUCCUGACUCUGAAGCUCUUCCUUCAGUAUUAGACCAACAGGGAUGCACAGCGUGGGGUACAGAGGCAUCUCAGGAAUCAGGGACCCUGGAGAUCCAGCCCUCAACAGCCUGCUCCUGGGAGUCCCCGCUGGCAAAAACAGUCCCUUUUCCAGAAAAAGCCUCUGAGUUUUCAUGUGGGAGAUGGAAAAUGUGAUUCUUGUCUGGCACUUUCAUUCUUGUCCUCAUUUUAUUUUGCUAAAAGAUACUGAUAAAGUUUGGAGUUGAAGGUCAAGGCCCUACAUAAAAUUAAAUAAUAGCACAGCCCAGGAGUUAUGCCCUAGAGUCUGCCUUAGAAAAAUUCCAGCACUUGUGCACAAGGCAAUGUGCAAAACUGCCCGUGUCCACAUUGCAUGCUAUAGAAAGCCAGAAACAACAAACAGUCUGUCUAUAAGGGCAUAGGUAAGCUUCUGUUUAUUCAAACAAUGGAUACUCUUCAGCACCUAAAUCAGAUGAACCAAGCCACCUGUAUCAACAUGGAUAAAUCUCAGAACAUACCGUCAAAUAAA